CAGUAUAUUGGGUCAAUAAGAAAGCCAGUUCAACAUCAGGUAAUGAAAUGUUUGCUGUCAAACUAAAAGACGUAGAAAACAUUUUUGAUUGCUACAACGGAUUCUGCAACCUAGAGUUCGUGGACUGCUCAAAGGCAUGUGUUAUUUCGCAAGAUUUCUACUGUGUAGGCAAGUGUAAACAACAACAGAAGAAAUGCGCGUUUGAAUGCAUCAGCGAUGUUGGUAUGGACCUAAAACAUGUAUGUUCAGAUCUUGCAUCGAAAUAGAAUGAUCAAAAGUAGAUAGAGAGGGUUACUCGUCUUUUUGUACAAAACCCAUUUGCGAUAUAGAAGCAAACAGGUUCGCCCAUACAUUGUGUGGACUAUUACUAUUUAUUAGGUCUUGGACUGGUUAGCUGAAGUAGGUAUCAAUACCUAUGUAACACAUACUGGCAUUGCUUGAAGAAUGGACUUAUGUUUCUAUCGGCUUAGAGAUUGGGGAUUAUUCAUGGUUUGUUUGGUUUUUUUUUAAUUACCAGAAAACCUACACUUAAGCUACACGUGACCUACCGGUAUUGCUUACCUUGAAAGACACCAUACAAAUAUUGUUGUUAUUCUCAUAACAUACUGUUAACCCCCUCCACUUUCUUCUCUUCCCAUUAUGUCGUUGAUAUUUUUGUAAAGAACAUCCCCCACCUAUAUGUCAUUGAUAUCGUUUUAUACAAAAACAAAAUCAGGCAUGUAAUGGGUUCCACUUAAAAAAUGUGACGAAGCUAAAAAUCACGAACUUCCCAAUAACUUCGAUUGAACAAUUUGUUAAAGACCUGUAAUGUGUUCAAACAGAGUCUAUUCAAAUACGUUAUGAACGCAAUAUUAAUAUUUGUAUUAUAAUAAUAAUAAUUAUUAUUAUAGUCAUAAUUGUAUUUGUUAAUAAUAUAAAAUAGUCGUCAAACCAUUUAUCUGUAUUAAAACUUUAGGAACAAACCCGACAAUUAAUAAUGUAAACUAAAUUUUGAGACUUAUAAAAGCAUAAAAUGAGAUCACUUGUGUUCUAAUAGCAUAGCAGGACAUUUUAUUGGUGUUAUUUCAGAUGUAUUUUGUAAUGAGAACACUUAUGGUGAGCAUCAAGUUCCAUGGCUCCGGCGUUAAACGAGUGCGUACCAAUAAAGUUUAAUCGGAACUUUG